AACAACUCUCAGCAACGGAUAUCUUGGCUCUUGCAACGAUGAAGAACGCA
rnacentral:rRNA from 2 species